UACGGAGGGUGCAAACGUUGCUCGGAAUCAUUGGGCGUAAAGCGCACGUAGGCGGCCGAUUAAGUCGGAUGUGAAAGCCCUGGGCUCAACCCAGGAAGUGCAUUCGAAACUGAUCGGCUUGAAUAUGGAAGAGGGUCGCGGAAUUCCCGGUGUAGAGGUGAAAUUCGUAGAUAUCGGGAGGAACACCAGUGGCGAAGGCGGCGACCUGGGCCAAUAUUGACGCUGAGGUGCGAAAAGCGUGGGGGAGCAAAACAGGG
rnacentral:rRNA from 1 species